rnacentral:rRNA from 1 species
GUGCCAGCCGCCGCGGUAAUACGAACCGUCCAAACGUUAUUCGGAAUUACUGGGCUUAAAGGGUACGUAGGCGGCGCUGUCAGUCGGGUGUGAAAUCCCACGGCUCAACCGUGGAAUUGCGCCCGAUACUGCAGUGCUUGAGGGAGACAGAGGUAAGCGGAACUGAUGGUGGAGCGGUGAAAUGCGUUGAUAUCAUCAGGAACACCAGUGGCGAAAGCGGCUUACUGGGUCUCUUCUGACGCUGAGGUACGAAAGCCAGGGGAGCGAAGGGGAUUAGAAACCCUUGUAGUCC